GCAACGAGCGCAACCCCCGCCGUAGUUGCCAGCGGUUCGGCCGGGCACUCUAACGGGACUGCCCGCGAAAGCGGGAGGAAGGAGGGGACGACGUCUGGUCAGCACGGCCCUUACGGCCUGGGCGACACACGUGCUACAAUGCCCACUACAAAGCGAUGCCACCCGGCAACGGGGAGCUAAUCGCAAAAAGGUGGGCCCAGUUCGGAUUGGGGUCUGCAACCCGACCCCAUGAAGCCGGAAUCGCUAGUAAUCGCGGAUCAGCCAUGCCGCGGUCGAAUACGUUCCCGGGCCUU
rnacentral:rRNA from 1 species